rnacentral:rRNA from 1 species
CUGGGCUCGAACGGCUUCUGACCAUCUUUGGAAACAGAGACUCCCCGCAAGGGGCAGGAGUCGAGGUGCUGCAUGGCUGUCGUCAGCUCGUGUCGUGAGAUGUUGGGUUAAGUCCCGCAACGAGCGCAACCCUUGUCCUGUGUUGCUAAUCCGUAAGGAUGCACUCUCAGGAGACCGCCAGCGAUAAGUUGGAGGAAGGUGGGGAUGACGUCAAGUCAUCAUGGCCUUUAUGUCCAGGGCUACACACGUGCUACAAUGGCCGGUACAAAGCGUUGCCAACCCGCGAGGGGGAGCUAACCGCAAAAAACCGGUCUCAGUUCGGAUCGCAGGCUGCAACCCGCCUGCGUGAAGCUGGAAUCGCUAGUAAUGGCGUAUCAGAACGACGCCGUGAAUA